GCUUAGACUGAAUUUCAUUUGCUUGGAGAGAACCCAAAGUGGAAAAAGAAAAUGUAAGCUGAAAGAGUCCAUUGGAACAGUUGCCAAACACAGAUACCCAUAUCCCAUACAUAGAAAGCUGAAAAUUAACAACCCAUUGGCACUGAUUUGUCUCUAAAAUCGUAAGAUCUUGAAUGAAUUUCAGUAAAAGCCAAACGGAUAGACAGAAAAAA
rnacentral:misc_RNA from 1 species